UACAGAGGUCUCAAGCGUUGUUCGGAUUCAUUGGGCGUAAAGGGUGUGUAGGUGGCGCCGUAAGUCGGGUGUGAAAUUUCGAGGCUUAACCUCGAAACUGCAUUCGAUACUGCGGUGCUUGAGGACUGGAGAGGAGACUGGGAAUUCAUGGUGUAGCAGUGAAAUGCGUAGAUAUCGUAAGGAAGACCAGUGGCGAAGGCGGGUCUCUGGACAGUUCCUGACGCUGAGGCACGAAGGCCAGGGGAGCAAACGGG
rnacentral:rRNA from 1 species